AUAAUUUGCUGAUAGAAAUCAAGAUUCGAUGCAAUCCAUUGGUUUCCUUAGCUAGGCUAUUAUUUUUAUGAAUUGGCUUGUAUGAAUAGUGAUUGGA